UACGUAGGGAGCAAGCGUUGUCCGGAUUUCCUGGGCGUAAAGGGCGCGUAGGCGGUCAGCACAAGUCAGUUGUGAAAUCUCCGGGCUUAACUCGGAAAGGUCAACUGAUACUGUGCGACUAGAGUGCGGAAGGGGCAACUGGAAUUCUCGGUGUAGCGGUGAAAUGCGUAGAUAUCGAGAGGAACACCUGCGGCGAAGGCGGGUUGCUGGGCCGACACUGACGCUGAUGCGCGAAAGCCAGGGGAGCGAACGGG
rnacentral:rRNA from 1 species